CAGUCGCCGCGGUAAUACGUAGGGUGCGAGCGUUAAUCGGAAUUACUGGGCGUAAAGCGAGCGCAGGCGGUUAGAUAAGUCUGAAGUUAAAGGCUGUGGCUUAACCAUAGUACGCUUUGGAAACUGUUUAACUUGAGUGCAAGAGGGGAGAGUGGAAUUCCAUGUGUAGCGGUGAAAUUCAUAGAUAUUGGGAAGAACACCAGUGGCGAAGGCGGCUCACUGGACCGACACUGACGCUGAGGCGCGAAAGCGUGGGGAGCAAACAGGAUUAGAUACCCCUGUAGUCCCUGUCUCUUAUACA
rnacentral:rRNA from 1 species